rnacentral:rRNA from 1 species
ACUCCUACGGGAGGCAGCAGUGGGGAAUAUUGCACAAUGGGGGAAACCCUGAUGCAGCCAUGCCGCGUGUGUGAAGAAGGCCCUUGGGUUGUAAAGCACUUUCAGUAGGGAGGAAGGUAGUGUAGUUAACACCUGCAUUAUUUGUACGUUACCUACAGAAGAAGCACCGGCUAACUCCGUGCCAGCACGCCGCGGUAAGUACGGAGGGUGCGAGCGUUAAUCGGAAUUACGUGGGCGUAAAGCGCAUGCAGGCGGUCUUGUUAAGUCAGAUGUGAAAGCCCGGGGUCUAACCUCGGAAUUGCUAUUUGAAACUGGCAGGCUAGAGUCUUAGUAGUAGGGGUAGAAUUUCGAGGUGUAGCGGUGAAAUGCGUAGAGAUCUGAA